rnacentral:rRNA from 1 species
CGGACGGGUGAGUAAUGCGUAGGAAUUUACCUCAAGGCGGGGGAUAGCCCGGAGAAAUCCGGAUUAAUACCGCAUGUGCUCUACGGAGGAAAGCGGGCCUCUUCUUGAAAGCUCGCACUUUGAGAUAAGCCUACGUCGGAUUAGCUUGUUGGUAGGGUAAAAGCCUACCAAGGCGACGAUCCGUAGCUGGUUUGAGAGGAUGAUCAGCCACACUGGGACUGAGACACGGCCCAG